GAUGAACGCUGGCGGUAUGCCUAACACAUGCAAGUCGUACGAGAGUUUUUAACUCUAGUGGCGGACGGGUGAGUAACACGUGAGAAUUUGACCUUUAGGAGGGGGACAACAAUCGGAAACGAAUGCUAAUACCCCAUAUGCUUUCGAGUGAAAUGGAUUUUAUCCGCCUAGAGAGAAGCUCGCGGCUGAUUAGCUUGUUGGUAAGGUAAGAGCUUACCAAGGCGACGAUCAGUAUCUGGUUUGAGAGGACGAUCAGACACACUGGAACUGAGACACGGUCCAGACUCCUACGGGAGGCAGCAGUGGGGAAUUUUCCGCAAUGGGCGAAAGCCUGACGGAGCAAUACCGCGUGAGGGAAGAAUGCCUAUGGGUUGUAAACCUCUUUUUUCAGGGAGGAAUAAAAUGACGUGUACCUGAAGAAUAAGCAUCGGCUAACUCCGUG
rnacentral:rRNA from 1 species